ACUGGUGUGCAGGUGCCAGCGGCCAUGGUCUUCCAGUGUCCUGGGACUAAAGAGCUGGUUCUAGCUUGAUGUGGUUUCCAUGAAUCCAGGAGGAUUUUCCUUGUACUUUGGUGACAGAAUAACUGCUUAGCAGUUCUUCACAAAGUCUAUCACAGCCAGAUACAAAUGAUGCAACUUGCGAAUGAUUCCUGUCAUUGAAAUAAGAAGAAUAACAUUUAAAUGAAACAUUAUCAUAAGUACCUUUUAACCAUCAAAGAGGUUUCAUUACACAAUCUUUUGUCUAUGUUUGUAUCUUUUAUAAAAUGUGGGUAAACCAAUGCAAGUAAGAAGACAGAUUUUUUUU